GACGAACGCUGGCGGCGUGCUUAACACAUGCAAGUCGAACGGAGUGGCGAACGGGUGAGUAACACGUGGGUGACCUGCCCUGCACUUCGGGAUAAGCCUGGGACACUGGGUCUAAUACCGGCGAGGGUGGGAUGGGCACGCGGCCUAUCAGCUUGUUGGUGGGGUAAUGGACUACCACGGCGGCGACGGGUAGCCGGCCGGAGAGGGUGGACGGCCACAUUAGGACUGCGACACGGACCAGACUCCUACGGGAGGCAACGGUGGGGAAUAUUGCACAGUGGGCGGAAGCCUGUUGCAGCGACGCGGCGUGUGGAAUGACGGCCUUCGGGUUGUAAACUCCUUUCACCAUCGACGCGGUAGAUGGAGAAUAAGCACCGGCUAACUACGUGCCAGCCGCCGCGGUAAUAC
rnacentral:rRNA from 1 species